rnacentral:rRNA from 1 species
UACGUAGGGUGCAAGCGUUAAUCGGAAUUACUGGGCGUAAAGCGUGCGCAGGCGGUUAUGCAGGACAGAUGUGAAAUCCCCGGGCUCAACCUGGGAACUGCAUUUGUGACUGCAUAGCUAGAGUACGGUAGAGGGGGAUGGAAUUCCGCGUGUAGCAGUGAAAUGCGUAGAUAUGCGGAGGAACACCGAUGGCGAAGGCAAUCCCCUGGACCUGUACUGACGCUCAUGCACGAAAGCGUGGGGAGCAAACAGG